UUCUUAUAGGAUUUAUUAUAAGUCCGACCUGCUCUAUGAAUCUUCAAUAGCGGUUAUACCCUAAGGUAGCAUAAUCAUUAGCCUUUUAAUUAAAGGAUAGUAUGAAAGGUUACACGUAAGUAUCUCGUCUUGGUUCUAUUUAAUCGAAAUUAGUCUAAAGAUAAAAAAAUCUUUAUUUCCUUUAGGGACAAGAAGACCCCAUAAAGCUUUAUUAUUAGUCCUAAAAUUCUUUGGGACUCAUAAUUUAAUUGGGGCAAUUCUAUUUAUUACAACUUAUAGAACAAUCUUUUUGAUCCAUCAAUGAUGACCACUUGAAUCAGUUACUUUGGGGAUAACAGCAUAAUUAAAAUUAGAGAGUCCUUAUUAAUAAUUUUGCUUAUGACCUCGAUGUUGGAUUAUAAUUCUCUUAAGUGCAGAAGCUUAAAAAAGAAAGUCUGUUCGACUUUUAAAUAUAUACA
rnacentral:rRNA from 1 species